rnacentral:rRNA from 1 species
UACGUAGGGGGCAAGCGUUGUCCGGAUUUAUUGGGCGUAAAGGGCUCGUAGGCGGCCAACUAAGUCGGAUGUGAAAUCCCCAAGCUUAACUUGGGAACUGCAUCCGAUACUGGAUGGCUUGAAUCCGGGAGAGGGAUGCAGAAUUCCAGGUGUAGCGGUGAAAUGCGCAGAUAUCAGGAGGAACACCUAUUGCGAAGGCAGCUCGCUGGGACGUAACUGACGCUGAGACGCGAAAAGCGUGGGGAGCAAACAGG